UCUUGUUUUUUUCUAGUGUUUUGUAUACUAAUUGUAUCUUGUUUUGGAUGUUUACAGGUAAUAUCACAUGUUUUAUACCUGCGUUUACAUGUGUCACACAGGUGGGCUAAAUUUUGAGCCAAAAAACUGGUAGUUACUACAUUGACCAAUGUGGGAUUUGCUUGAGCCAAAAGUUGGGUCUUUAAAAAUGGUCACAUUUUUAUUUGGUUUACCCGACACUGAAAUCUAAAAUUAACUUUAAAUAACAUAAUAAGAAAAAAUCUUCCCAUACUUGGAAAAUUUUCAUCCAUCUUUACCUCUAGGAAGAUUUUCACACUUAAAAACUCCGCAUUUUCUCUUUAUUCACAUUUUCAAACUCCUUCAACCUAAAUUCAAAGUACUCACUUCGUAACUCAAGAAUUCAACUCCGAAUCAUUACAUUGGGCUUCUCUCUCAUCUCUUAUGUGAAUUUAAAAGGUAUAUCUCCAAGAAAGAAUUUUCAGUGAGGUUCUAUGAAUGAAAAUACUCUAGAAAAGGGCAAGGCAAAAUCAAUAAGCAAAAUUGGCAAAGAAUCGUCCUCUAAAGUGAUCCAACAAUGCCAAAAAGUGUGGACCAUUGUAGAACGUACAAAGUUAAUGGCAUCGAGGUAGAUCAAAUCUAUUUUGGAGUAGAGGCUGCAAGAGACCUUUAUGAUGAUUGGGUAAAAAGUUGGGGCAUUAAUCUUGUCAAGAUAUUUAAUAAGAAGAGAUCUGAAGAACAUUGUCCUAAAAUAAUUGAUGGAAUAAAAGAUUUGAUUUCACAUGUCUUCAAAGAUUUGGUCUCCAUUCCUCAUCCUUCACUCUACUUUCAAGAACUUGUCUAGGAAUUUUAUGCCUCUUAUUUUGUAUGGAACAAUGAAUGAUUGAUUGUACAGGCUUCUAAUUUCCAAAGAAUCAUGUCUCUCUAGUAUACUAGUUUAAUUCAGUGAACUCCCUUGCACGACCUAAGAUAUUAAUGAGAUAUAUAUUGCUUCUGA